CUCUAAUCUUGCUUUGAUUAACCAGGACUCACCAGUUCCGCUUCUCAAAAUGAGGUUCCCUGCUCAGCUGCUGGGGCUGCUGAUGCUCUGGAUCCCAGGAUCCAGUGGGGAUGUCGUGAUGACGCAGACCCCUCUGUCCCUGCCCGUCACCCCUGGAGAGCCGGCCUCAAUCUCCUGCAGGGCCAGUCAGAGCCUCCUGCACAGUAAUGGAAACACCUAUUUAAGUUGGUACCUGCAGAAGCCAGGCCAGUCUCCACGGCUCCUGAUCUAUAAGGUUUCCAACCGGGCCUCUGGGGUCCCAGACAGGUUCAGUGGCAGCGGGUCAGGGACAGAUUUCACCCUGAGAAUCAGCAGGGUGGAGGCUGACGACUUUGGAGUUUAUUACUGCCUGCAAGGGAGUGAUUAUAGUGGAGGUCAGGGUGGUGGUGUAUCAGGAGUUCAUUCCUUUUACUGCUAG